rnacentral:lncRNA from 1 species
CCCUCUCUUGCCUGCCACCAUGUAAGAAGUCCCUUUGGUCUUCCUUUGUCUUCUGCCGUGAUUGUGAGGCCUCCCCAGCCAUGUGGAACUGUACUCAAACUGUGGCCCAAGUGCUGGUAGCAUUAGCAUCAACUGGAAGCUUGUUAGAAAUGUAGAAUCUCAGAUCUCACCCCAGAAUGGACUAUGGACUCAGAAUCUGCAUUUUAAUAAGAUUCACAAUUCACAGUAUAAAAUAAUAAGAUGGCUGAUCCUGCAAAGAGGCGCGGUGACAUCAACAGUGACUCAGUCUCUAUGAUGGUAUUAGUAACUGGCAGCUGACUCUCCUAUUUAUCAUCAAGUUAUGUUCCAAAUAAGACUUUCAAGUCUGAGAAAAAUGACAAAUCCCUUCCAGGCAUGGUUCAAGUUAAAGCUGAAACUGUGUCUUCGUUUCAGCUCAAGAGAGGUUUUGAUUGUGUCGUGGCUUUUCCUUGUGUAUUGGUUGAGGAACUGUGCCUUGGAGGGGCGGGGAGUCUUGAGAAUGGGUCAACUGAUGGAGGGGGAGUGGAAGACAUUGGUUGCCCAAGAAAAUAUGUCAACAUCUGUCCAUCACUGCAACUCCGGCCUGAUUAUCAUUUUUUCUGCUUCUGUAAGCACCAAUGAGACAAUGCCACUGAACCACAUUCUUUGUUGCCUGCAGUAUUUCCCACCACUGCGCCACCUCUGAUAUGCUAAUGAGGAAGCCCAGGGUUUUGUGUGGCUGAAAAGCCUUUCAGGCACAAUCAGUGGGUCAACAAUCUCAACUCUGUACAGCGGCUCAGCCUGCUCUGUGAGAGGCUCCUCUUUCGGAGGGGUCCUUCCUCACACCUUUUCUGUGAGUGCGUCUGUGCUUAAGGAAGGGCAAUUAACCAUCUGGCUGCUUGUCCCCUGGAGAAAUUGACAGAACAUCAAACAGAAUAAACUCAUACCUUGAAAACUGCCAAGUGGCACAUGACUGUCCGGUUCACUGUGGGGAGAAGCCACUAACCAAUGGUCUGAAUCUAAAAAUGACCCAGUGGCACCGGUUUGUAGUAAAACUUUGAAGAUAGAACUCCAUGCAAAUUCUGACUCCAUAGUGCUGGUUCUUGAUGUAAAUCUCCCAAUGUAACUGUCAAGGUUUAAAAAUAUCUUACGUAGGUGUUCAGAAUCAUAUUCUGUUUCUACUAGUAUUGUUAACCAUUGCAAAGAAAUACUGUUGCCCUCCAUUAAAACCUGAACUGCCUGCUGUCUAUGGUUUAUUUAUCUAACAAAGAUUUAUUGUGGCGCCAGACAUUGUAAUAGGCCAUAAAGACACAAAAAAGAAAAAUAGAUAGUUUCUGACCUCAGGAAAAACUUAGUCACAUGAGGGAGACAGUAUAUAAUACAACGUGGUUAGUACCUGAUGAAACAGUGCACAUGGUGCCAUGGGAACACAAAAGCCAGCCACAGGGAAGUCAAGGAAGGCUUCCUGGAGGACAGUGAACCGAAUCUUAAACUGAAUAAUAUGUAGUGAGGAAAAGCGAGGGUAAAUGGAAUUUUAUGAAAUUUGUCAGAAGAGGUUAACCAUUGUAACAAACAGCCCUGGAAUUUCAGGGGCAAACACAACCAAGAUUUAUUUCUUGCCUAUGUCACAGUCUAAUGAGGUUGUCAGGGGAUGUCACAAAGUGUGGUACUGUGUUCUAUGAAGUCUUUCAGAGACCUGGUUCCUUCCAUUAGCAACUCCCCCAUCUUCUAAGACUGCACUGGAUUCUUGGUUUCCUCUUCCCCAGAUAGUUUGGCACCAGGAGUGUCCUCAGUAAGAUAGAUCUGCUUCCUGCUCUCAUGGAACUACUCUAAUGAAGAAACACACAAAUCAAUACAUAAGAAAAAUAGGCCUUACUUAGAUGGGAUGGUCAGGGAAAGCCUCUUUGGAAAGAUGACAUUUGAGCUGAUAUGUAAAUGACAAGAAGGAGCUAUCCACAAGAAUGUGGAGGAGGAGGGACAUUCCAGGCACAGAGUUAAGUUAGAGUCAAGGUCCUUAGUUAAGAAUAAGCUAGGUAAGCGUCAGGAUAGAAAAAUGUCCAGUGUAGCUGAGGAUAGUGGGCCAAUGGGUGAAUGGACAGAUGAGGUCUCAGAGGUCAGCAGAAGUUAGCUCAUGAAGGACAUUAUAAACUAGAUUAAGAAGGAUGGAUUUUUAAUCUAAGUGCAAUGAAAAGUUAUUAGAGAGAUUUGAGCCCAGAACUAAUGUGAUUUAUAUUUUUACAAAACAAUUCAUGUGGAAGCAGAGAAAACUAGUUAGGAGGCUUUUGUACAAGCCCCAGUUGACAAAGGGUGGUGAUACCAGUGGAGAUGGGGAAAAAUUGAAAGGUUUGAGAGGUGCUUUGAAAAUAGAAUUCACGGGACUUGCUGUUCCAGAAGUAUUGGGUGUGGAAGGUGAGGGAAGCUAUAAGACAGUAAUCAAGAACAAUUACUUGAGCACUAAGUGGGUGGUAAAACCAUUUACUGAGAUAUGUGUAUUUCUAGGGGAGCUAUAUGAGAUACAUGAGACUGGAAAAAACCUGAUUGGCAAAAGAGAGAAUACUCUUGGGUCAUGUUGAGUUCGAGAUGCUUAUUAAGCUUCCACAUAGUGAUAUCUAGUUGGCUGUUGGAUACAGGAAUCUAGAAUCCUGGGCGUGAAUAUUUUAAAGAUAUUGGACAUGAUGAGUUUGCCCAGUUAGAGUGUGGACAAAAGAUACGAGACCCAGGAUAGACCCCUGAGGCGCUCAACAUUUAGAGGUGCAGGCAGAGGCAAAAGACCCACCAAAGGAGCAUGAAAAGGAAUUGUGAGGUAGGAGGAAGCCACCAGGGUGCUGGUGAGGAGACAAGGGAAAUGGGUAAAGUUCUAGGCAACAGAGAAAGGGGAUAUUUCAAUUUUAUUUCUUUAACUUCUGCAUCCUCCAAACCCAGUAAGCCAUUUUAAAUAUGAUUUCCAAUGAGAAUACAUCUGGUCAAAUUAAUAUACUCACGAACAGCGUCCCCACAAUGAACUUUUGGCCCAAGAUUCAUUUGUCAAGGAGAUGCGGAAUCAGUGGAAUGGCCAAUAGAACGUGGACUCUGAAGCAACCUUCCCAAAAAUACAGUCAUUUUUGAGAUGGAGACAUCGAAGCCAAGGAAAUUCAUUUCCAGCUUCACGUCUGAAGGUUUGAGUUCACAUUUCAGCACUAACAAUUGUGUAUCUCUAGGGGAACUAUAUGAGGUUUCUGAGCCUCAGUUUCAUUUUCUAUAUAAUGGGUGUAAUAACCACUGUGUAUUUGUGAUUACUCUCAUCCCUCUGAGUAGAUACAAUCUUUCUGUACAAUAAUAAGACUUCACGCUUUCCUAUCUUAGAAACCCCUUUAAAACUCCUCCCCAGACCUUCCCCUAGGUACUACUUGCUGCAUUAGGUGCUGCUCUGUGUCUAAGAACUGCUGACUUUGUUUGUCUGCAGUUACUCAUUAUAAUGUCAUUACCUACCAAGGAAGGAGUAUUGUUGCCUGGGCUGCUAGCCUCUGCUUCAUUUGGUCAUGCUUGAACUCUCUUCUUAGCUCACAUCUCCUUUCUAGUCACAAGGAUGUAAAAUUGUCUUCAGUUUCCUCCCACCCAUUCUUAUUUUAUAAAUUGUUCGAGAAGGCGUUGGUGACCUUUACAUGUGCCUCCAAAUGCACUGGCUUCACACAUGGUUUCUUGCACUAGCCUUGCAUCUUCAUGUCCUUCAAGUCAAUCAAUUCCUUCCACCAUCCAUACUGUCCAAUCAACCUCAACACCACCUAACUCACAUGGUGCUUGAAGGAAUCAAAUACUUUAGCACACAUGUUGUGAACUUCAUCUACAAAGGCAAAAGAGUUUUCUUGGUACUCUUGUAGCUAGAUCUUUAAGCCUUUAAAAAUAGACAAAUGGGGACUAAAAUCAAAAAGGGCUUAUGUAAGUAGAUUAAAGCAUUUGUUCUGAUUGAUGCAGACAUUUAAAAAUGCAUUAUUCUAAAGAACACAAUUCUAGCUCUGUGGAAGUGCUAUUGAAUUUCAGUCCUCUAUGCCUUAUGAUUUUUGUAACAUUCUGUUUUAGAGUCCAACAAUAGACUCUGAAUUUUCCCAGAGACAUGAAAAGUGGUCUGUAAACAAAAUGACCAUUCUUCUAGAAAUCAAAUCAUCACCAAUUAAUAGAACAAGGACAUCAUUUUUCACCCAUCAUUGCAUUAGCUCAUUAGCUCAGGCUGCCAUAAAAAGCUACCAUAGACUAGGUAGCUUAAAUGACAGAAAUUCAUUUUUUUGCAGUUCCUGAGGCUGGAAAAUCCAGGUUCAAGGUGACAGCCAAUUCUGUUUCUGGUGAGGGCCCUCUUGCUGGCUUGGAAAUAGCCAACUUCUCACUAUGUCCUCAUGUGGCCUUUCCUCAGUGCAUGUGCAUGUCGUAUGUAUGUGAAGGAGAUCUCUCUCUCUCUUCCUCUUCCUAUAAGGCCACCAAUUCUAUUGGAUUAGGACCCCACCCUUAUGACCUCAUUUAACCUUAAUUACCUCCUAAAAGCCUUACCUUCAAAUCUAAUCACAUUGGUGGCUAGGGCUUAAACAUAUGAAUUUUGGGGAAAGAGCCAUAAUUUAGUCCAUAGCACUGGUAAACACUGCUCAGAGUUCAUUGCAAAGGGCACUUUUGUACACUGCUCGUGGGGGUAAAUCUGGUGUAGUCAUUAUGGAGGGAAAUGAGGUGACGAGUACCAGUGGUCUUAAAAUGGUCUCUGAUGCGAUAAUUCCUCAUUUACACCCUUAAGAAAAUAAUCAGAGCUGUAUAUACAGAUUUUUGAAUACAUCUUUUUCUAAACCUACUAUUUAUAAAUGCAAAGGCCUAAAAAUAACCCUUUUAUGUUCAACAAUGGGAUAAUAAACACAUAAAUUCAGAGGCAAUAAUAUGGUGCCAAUGUGGUAGAGUGAGGAGAAAUAAUCUUUUUUGAAAAAUCUUUAAUGCCAUGAGAACAUAUUUAGGAUAAUAUUUAGAGGGGAAAUAGGCUACUUAAAGGAAUCAUUUAGAAUAAAUUAAUAUUUUUAAUGCAUAUAUAAAUUUGAUAUGCAUUUACAUAAUAUCAGAAGAAUAGACAUAUAAAUAGUAACUGGUUAGGACUGCUUGGUGGGAUUUAGGGUGGUUUUUUUUUCUUCAAAGUCUUUUGUGUUUCCAAACUAUUGACAGUUCGCAUUUAUUAUCAGUAUACUAAGGAAAAAAAGCCAUUUUAAAAAUAGCUCUAGGAAACUAUUCAAAUCUAAAGCUUAAGCAUUUAUAUUUCAUGCUGCUUAUGAGAAGACCAGGGACAUGUAGCAGUUGCUUGUUUUUUUCUUUGUAAUUCUAGUCAUUCUAUGUGACUCCCCUGUAGCAGGCAGAAUAAUGGUCCCCUAAAGAUUUCUACACUCUAGCCCCUAGAACUUGUGAAUGUGUUACAUGGCAAAGGGGAGUUUGCAGAUGGGAUUAAAGGUAUAGGUCUUGAGAUGGGAAGAUUAUCCUGGGUUGGCUUAGUGGACUCUAUCUAAUCAUAUAGGUCCUUAAAAUCGGAUAAACUUUUUGGGCUGUGGUCAGAGGGAGAUCUGACGGCAGCACCAGAAGGACUUGGCCCGCCACUGAAAUUGCCUUUUUCACCUUUUGCAGGGAAUUCUGGUAGCCUGCAGAAGGUGAAAAAGGCAAGGCAAGAAAAUCUCCCCUAAAUCUUCCAGAAGGCAUGCUGUGCAGCUGGCACCUUGAUUUUAACGCAGUGAGAUUUGCGUUGGACUUUUAACCUAUAAAACCAUGAGAUAAUAAAUGUGUAUUGUUUUAAGCUACUAAGUUAGUUGUAAUUUGCCACGGCAGUAAUAGAAAGUUGAUGUAGUCUUGAAAAGUAAUUUCACUCAAUCUUGUUUAAUUUGGUGUUCACACCACCCCCUCCAUUAUAACCACCUGUUUUCUUUUUUUUUUUUAAUCUUAAUUAUUCAACAAGUAUUAACUGAGGACCAGCUAUGAACUGGACACUGUUAGGUGCUGAGGAAAAGAGAAAGGAAGUGUAAGAUACAGCUCUGAGUUUGGUAGUACAGACAAAUGACCUUUUAGAGAGAACCAAGAGCGUGUUAGGGAAGAAACACUGUGUUGCUAUAAUAUUAAUCUGAUCUUUUUAAUGAUUUUCUGUAGCUUAAUGUUCAUUCUUUUGAGAUAUUUCUGUUUAACUGAUAUCAGAGAUGAAGUCUACAUAUAAGAACAAUAAAUUUCCUUUGCAUUUUCUUUCUUACUCUUUGUGACUAUCAACCCAGCAGAUACAACCUUUAAAUAAAUUUAUCGUCUAUCUCAGUAUAGAGACCUCUAAGUCACCAAAUAUGCUCAUCCUGCUAAUAAAAUUAAAGGCAGUUGUUCUUAUCCCAGAGAACAUCAAGAACAAUCCCAGAAUUCUAUCAACUGCAUGCAGGUGUGGGCUGUUAGAAUUCUGUGGUGUUAAAUGUGAUGAAUCAUGCCAUUUUAUUCGUUAGCCAGUUGAUUAUUUCUUUGAAAUGUGAUUGCCUACAUUGUGCUGGCCUUUGGUCAUACAAAGAGAAAUAAAGCCACUCCUUCACCUUCAGGAGCACCGAAUUAAGCAUGGGAGACAGAGACACAACCAUGACAAAAUGUGACAUGUAUGCAAUUAACAGGUAUGCAAGUCCCGUGGGGUGACAGUGAAUGGAGCAAUUAUUUGGUAUCCGGAGAACUAAGGUGGGAAGGGAGGUUGGAGGGACAUUUGAAUUGACUCUGAAGAUCAAGCAUGAAUUUGCCAAGUGGAAUUAGAGAAAGGGUAUCCAUGAUAGAUAAAAUAACAUGGACAAAGGCUGGGAGGUAGGGAAGUGCGUUGAUCUUUCCUGUAAAGGAAUGGGCUGCUCAAAGGAGUCUAAGGAGCAAAGAGGGGUUUGGAAGAGACAUCUGAAGUUAGAUAGUAAAAUAUAUUAAAUGCCAAGCUAGAUGACUGAACUUGAUCCUAGAGGCAAUGGGAACUAACAGAGGUUUUUAAGCAUGCCAAUGUCACCAUAAGCUCUAUGGUUAUAAACUGCUGUCCAGUUUUCUGCAGUGAUGAAAAUGUUCUAUUUCCGCAUUAAAAUGUUACAGCCACUAGCCACUAGCUCAAAUGUUGCAGUGACUGUUGAGCCACUGAAAUAUAACUAUUGUGAUUAAGGAACUGAAUUUUUACUUCUAUUUAAUUUGAAUUAAUUUAAGUUUACUUUUAGCAAGCCACACGUGGCUAGUGACCACCAUAUUGGGCAGCCCAGAGCUAGAAAGUUAUCUCUGGAGGAGUAUUGAAUGGAAGAGGAGAGAAGGCUUCCUACAGGGAAAAAAAGACUAUAUUAAAGAGGGAAUCAUUUCUUUUCCUUUCAGAGAUAAAUUUUUAACACUAUAUAAAUGAUUUUGACCAUGGAUUGUGUACAGAUGGGUGCCAACUUAUGAUGGCUCAUCUUACCAUUUUUUGACUUUAUAAUGCUGUGAAAGCAAUACGCAUUUAGUAGAAACCAUACUUUGAGUAUCCAUACAAGCAUUUUGUUUUUCACUUUAAGUACAGUAUUCAAUAAAUUACAUGAGAUAUUCAGCACUUUAUUACAAAAUAGGCUUCGUGUUAGAUGACUUUGCCCAACUUUAGGCUAAUGUAAGUGUUCUGAGCACAUUCCAGGUAGGCUAGGCUAAGCUAUAAUGUUUAGUAGGUUAGGUGUAUUCAAUGCCUUUUUGACUUAUGAUAUUUUUAACUUAUGAUGUGAUUACUGAGAUGUAACUCCAUUGUAAGUCAAGGAGCAUCUAUACUCAAAUAUAGACCAUUAAUAAUAUGGAGCCAACAGGCGUGGUGGCUCACGUCUGUAAUCCCAGAACUUUGGGAGGCCGAGGUCAGGGGAUCACUUGAGCUCAGGAGUUCAAGACCAGCCUGGACAACAUGGUGAAACCCUGUCUCUACAAAAAAAAUUUAAAAAAUUAGCCAGGCAUGGUGGCGGGUGCCUAUGGAGCUAGCUACUCGGAAGGCUGAGGUGGUGGUACCAGUGGAGGGACUUGACUAUGAGUUGUGCAGGUUCUUGGUCUUUUGAACAAAGAAUUGGACAAAACAUGCAAACAAAGCAAUGAAAGGAUGAAGCAACAAAAGCACAGAUUUAUUGAAACCAACGUACACUCCACAGAAUGGGAGUGGGCUUGAGCAAGCAGCUGAAAAGCACUGGUUACAGAAUUUUCUGGGGUUUGAAUACCUUCUAGUGAUUUCCCAUUGGUUACUUGGUUGUACCUAUGUAAAUGAAAGAGUGGCCCACGACCAGUUUGAUUGGUUGCAGGAGGUGACCAAUCAGAGUCUGAAGUGAAGUUACAAAGUUACACAUGAAGACUAGUCCUGCGACCAGUCUGAUUGGUUGCGGGAGGGGACCAAUUAGAGGUACUUUCCAUUUUUCAUCUGCACAGUGCAAAGGUAGUAACCUCUGAUCCUUUCGUUACUUCAGUGUGGAGAGGUGGGGUUUUCCUUUUGAUUCAGUUCUAGGAAGUCAGGGCGAAUUGGCUUUAGGUAACCUGUCUCCAGACCCUAUUCUCCUGCCUCAGUGGGAGGAUCACCUGAGCCUAGGAGGCAGAGGUUGCAGCAACCUAAGAUCAUGCCACUGCACUCCAGCUUGGGUGACAGAGCAAAACCCUGUCUCAAAUAAUAAUAAUAAUAAUAAUAAAGGAGCCAGUUUAGUUUGUGUGCCUAUAAUCCAGAAGAAAGGUGUUUCAGUGUACAGUCAGAGACGAUAACCACUAAUCCUGCCUCUGGGCUGAGGAUGGGACAUUGAACAACUGUUUUAUUCCUUAUUCCUUAGUAUUUAUUUUAUAGAGUUGAAUCUCCAACCCCUCAUCUACUUACCCACCAUACUAUCUGUGUAACUACAGUUAACAUGCAGUAGCCAAGACAGUGACUCUCAAUGUGGGAAGGGGGUGAUUUUGUUUCCCAGGGAACAUUUGGCAAUGUUUGGAGACGUUUUGAGUUAUCACAACUGGGGAAGGGGUGCUACUGGCAUCUAGUGGGUAGAAGCCAGGGAUGCUGCAAAACAUCCUACCACGCACGGGACAAUGAUGCAGUCCAAAAUAUCAAUAGUGCUGAGGUGAAGAAAUCCUGGUCUAGAGCAGUGGUUUUCAACCCUCAAUGUUCAUUAGAGUCACUUGGGAAACUUUAAAAAAUCCCUAUGCCCUGGUCAUUCCCCAGGCCAACUAAAUCAGAAACUCUGAGAUUGGGGCCCAACCCAGGUUUUGGUGCUUUUUAAAGAGAUCUCCAAGUGAUUCUAAUAUGAAGCCAGAGUUGAGAGCUACUGGCAUAAAGAUAGUCCAAAAUAUCCUAUUCUUAAGCCCUCAACAUAUCUGACUCCUAUGAACAUCCAUUUUGUGUCUCUCAUGCAGUCUUCUGCCAAAACCAUGUCCCUGUCUUUUACUUAGUCUAUUUGUCACUGCAGGGCUCUUGAAACCUGUCAGACACCUAAAUAUGGAAACAAUAGACACUGGGGACUACUAGAUGACAGAGGGAGGGAGAGGGGCUAGCGUUGAAAAACUAACUGUUGGGUCCUAUGUUCACCACCCGGGUGAAGGGAUCAGAUCAUUCACAUCCCAAACCUCACUAUUAUGUAAUACGCCAUGUAACAAACCUACACAUGUACUCCAUGAAUCUAAAAGUUGAAAUUAUAUAUAUAAUAUUUAUAAAUA